rnacentral:rRNA from 1 species
UACGUAGGUGGCAAGCGUUGUCCGGAUUUACUGGGCGUAAAGAGCGCGCAGGCGGUCGUUCAAGUCGCGUGUGAAAGCCCCCGGCUCAACUGGGGAGGGUCACGCGAUACUGAUCGACUGGAAGGCAGGAGAGGGUAGUGGAAUUCCCGGUGUAGUGGUGAAAUGCGUAGAUAUCGGGAGGAACACCAGUGGCGAAGGCGACUACCUGGCCUGUUCUUGACGCUGAGGCGCGAAAAGCUAGGGGAGCAACGGGG